AUGGCAGGGCAUCUAUGCUUUUUUAAAUUUAAAAAUGAAAAAGUGUUUAAAUUCUUCUCACAGAGAAGUUCAUCAAGCAGAAAAACAACUGACCAAACAGACAUCGAAACCUCUGGAGGAUUUCUUAAUGCAUUUGGCAUCAGCAAGCUGAAACUCCAGUUCUGUCCCAUGCUAUAUUCCCAUGACAAGAUUUCUGCUGCUGAUUUUGUUGCGGAGGUUCAAAAUCCCAUAUGCAUUCUAUCUUUGUUGACAUUCUUCCAGGUUUUGGAAAAGAAGUUUCCUUACAUCUCCAGAGAAACCGAAUCUCACUUUGUCAGUCAUCUGUUUUGUUUUUUAAAAUGCUUCUCUGAUGCAGAGUCUUUCAGACCAUAUUAAAAGAAUCCAAGGAUUGUUUCCACUGUAUCAUGAUAAUCAAACUUUGUGUCUCAUUCAUAAUUGCAUGCAAAGGCCCCUGCCUCUGCUGGGGUUGGUGUAAAUGAGUGUCAGACAUUCCUUUUUACUUCUCAGAGAUGGUUACAGCAUUUGUCCUGCAUCACAAGAAAAAAUAUCAAAGGGUUGGAAAGUGGGAUGGGAUCCAAGUUUAAGACUGCGAUUUAGUGUGGAGACAUUGGAGAUUUCUGCACUUUGCACAAGGACUGAUAUAAAUCUUAGGUAAUCCUGCUCCAGCAGAGAGGCUUUUCUUAAGGACUUCUACAAAUGAAGCAUCUAAUUACCACCAAAAAAAUAGCAAACAAAGGAGUGAGAGUAUAUCUUUAAUAUGGUGUAGCGGUCCUUAAAGACUGUGACAAACCAAAACAUCACAGAGGAAUAUAAAUGUACUGAGAAGUUUAUAAAUAUGGACCUGAGGGCAGAGUUUCGUGAAGUGAUGAGGUCUGGCUUUGGCAUUAUCAAAGUUUAAAAAUGCCAAAGCCACAUUAUCCAGAGUAUAAGUUCACUCUACUCAAUAGAAAUCAUUCAUACUUUCUUGAAAUGAUUUCUUUAAAGUGAUUUGUUCUGUCUAGUGGAAUUUUUCUCAUGUGAAAUAUCAUAUAUCUGUACAAUGCUUUACUGAAAUGUUGUCUAUUCUCACAGUUUUACAUUGUGUGCCUAACCUUUUGCUUGAAUAUUCAGUCUCAGGCAGUUCACUGCCUAAUGUCAAAGUAUCUUCAAUUCACCUGUUUAGCAGGCUCCUCUGGCCUUGAGGGAAGAAAUAACUUGUCUGCCAUGUGAAUGACCCACGGGAUCACAUCAUCCUCUGUGAGGGUUGUGUCAAAUGGUCAGUGGUCACCUCCUUCCCACACACUCACCUAUCUUUCAUGACCAGUUGGAGAUUCAAGGGUCUGUAACUGAGUCUAGGCCAAAUAUUACCCUUCUCUCCCAGUCAGAGAAACACAAACCUAUCUUCUGCUUUCCAAUUACACCAAACAGACCACAAGCCUUUAUUUCCUAGGAACCAUUAGGUCCCUUGUGCACAUCAGUGUAAACACCAUGUGGUAGAUGUGCAGAUCUCUUGCCAUACCAACACACAUCUUAGGUGUGCUCAGAUUUAAGGCAAAUUCUGUUUAUGCUGAGAGGUGCCUAGCUAUGCCCAAAUCCAUUAAUAAUUACCUUGAAACCAUGGGCUGUUACAACUGAUGGUAUGCAGAGUUCCUAGAAGUUAAGGCUCUUAUCUCCAGCUCCUAACUGGGAUCGGCAAAAUCUUUGAGUGUCUUACUGUUGCCCUUCAGUAAACAAAACAUAGAGAUUUCAAUUUGCUCCUACCAGUCCUUUAUGAGGAAAGAACUUUAGAACUUUUUUUUUUUUUUUUUUUUUUUUAGUUUGAACUGCUGCCCAAGAGAUGAGAAAAAAGGUUGGUUUUUUUCUUCUUUUUUUCAAGAGUGCCACUUAGGCAGAGAGAUUUGAUUUUACAAAAGGUUUUGGUGGUACUGACCUCUAAGGAAAUACAGAGCCUGACUCUGGAUCCUGUUAGCUUUUGCCCUGGGAACUGAAGUCUGUUCUGGAAGGUUGUGACAGUGAGAGCCCAGCUGACAACAUGGUGCUGCUUUCAAUUCCUUUAGUUUUCAGGAAUAAUAAGAAUCAUUAAAUAUAGACAUUUGGAACAUUUGUUUCUAAUCAGCUGCCCUACUUCUGAUGCCCUGAAAGAAAGAAUGUGAUUACUGAGAGAUAUGGAUACAGUUUAUUAAUCAAAUUUUAAGUACAUUUAAAAGUAAAAGACAAGAAACCGUAGCCUCAGGUCGAAAUUAUUACUGGAAGGAAUGGAACCAUUUACAAUAAAAUGUAAUAAUAAAGCA
ensembl:lncRNA